rnacentral:rRNA from 1 species
CCUACGGGUGGCAGCAGUGGGGAAUAUUGGGCAAUGGGCGCAAGCCUGACCCAGCAACGCCGCGUGAAGGAAGAAGGCUCUCGGGUUGUAAACUUCUUUUAUCAGGGACGAAGCAAGUGACGGUACCUGAUGAAUAAGCCACGGCUAACUACGUGCCAGCAGCCGCGGUAAUACGGAGGAUCCGAGCGUUAUCCGGAUUUAUUGGGUUUAAAGGGAGCGUAGGCGGGCGAGAAAGUUGAAUGUUAAAUCUACCGGCUUAACUUGGGGGUUGCAUGGGAAACUGUAGAGCUUGAGUACAGGAGAGGCAAGCGGAAUUCCUAGUGUAGCGGUGAAAUGCAUAGAUAUUAGGAGGAACACCAGUGGCGAAGGCGGCUUGCUGGACUGAAACUGACGCUGAGGCUCGAAAGCGUGGGGAGCAAACAGGAUUAGAUACCCCGGUAGUC